CUGGCCUAGAUUGGGUGGAAGUCUAGGCGUUGCACGGGACUACUGUCCGAGCUAGGAAGUGGCCCCAUGACACCCGGGGGGGCAAAAAACCCACCCCACCAUCCCCAACCCUUUUUGUCCUACUCUCCUACUGUUUUACAAUCAAGGAUAUUUGACGAUAAUGUUAUUUUCUUGCAAUCCCCUUGUCCAUUGGAUGCAACAGAGGUUGAAAACCCAG
rnacentral:misc_RNA from 1 species